UACAGAGGUGGCAAGCGUUGUUCGGAAUUACUGGGCGUAAAGGGCGCGUAGGCGGCCUUCUAAGUCAGACGUGAAAUCCCCCGGCUUAACCUGGGAACUGCGUCUGAUACUGGGAGGCUAGAGUAUGGGAGAGGGAUGUAGAAUUCCAGGUGUAGCGGUGAAAUGCGUAGAUAUCUGGAGGAAUACCGGUGGCGAAGGCGGCAUCCUGGACCAUUACUGACGCUGAGGCGCGAAAGCGUGGGUAGCAAACAGG
rnacentral:rRNA from 1 species